UUCAUAAAGCGACAGCGGAGGUCUCUUCGCUCUUCAAAUGCCCCCAAGAAACCCAAGAGCGAGCGCGAGGAAGAGGCUGCCAACGAUGGCCGCGGCAGCCGUCGAGACGAGGAAGAUCAAGUGCGAUUGUCAGCUCAGGAUAUAAGGGGGAACAAAGCCUAGCAGCAUUAGAGAAUGCCAACAUAUGCAUAAGUUGCUGAUGGAUCUAAAGUUGAAAUUUAUGAUAUUAGGAAUUCCUUUUCUUUUGAUGAAGAGGGCCUUGGAAAAUCAUGGGCAAAAUGUAUGUGCUCAUUUCUGCAAGAGUUAAAUGAUGCUGUUGGAGUUAAGUUCAUUGAUGAGUCUCCAGAAAACUUAAUCGAGAAAAUUUUUACUGAAUUUGCUUCAGUAAUAGCAAACAGGUACGCUAUUAAGAUUCAAUUCAUUGUGAAUACAUGAAUAGUUGAAUCAGUCCCUGACGAUACAUUUUUAUUUGUUAGAUUUUCACUUUCUUUAAGUGAUCAUAUCAUUGGAAGAUGUUUCUAGUGUUAUCAGAUAUCAGAAUUUAGUAUUUUAUUUAUGCUAAUCAUGGCAAUGCAUGUUCUUUUUAGCAAGCAUCGAUAUUCAAGUUGAACAUUUUUGUCCUUGUGUUCAACCUUUUCUUUUCUAGCUGAAUUUGCAGUUGCAUCUUUUUUUUCUUUUUUUUUUUUUCUAAUUUGUAAUCUUGUGCCCAUGGCUAUGGUUUUUAGUUUGGCAUGUCCCUUAAUAUGUAUAAAUUAGCGAAGGUUCUUUAUUCUAGAAAUUUGGUGCAUUGACAUGCUCUUGAUAGGGUCUCGAUAGGAAUGCUGUAUCAAGUCCAUACACUUUGAUGACAUUAGUUAGCAUGGAUGUCCUAGUGCAAUCCUUGUGUUGUGCGGGGUGCCUCUUAGGUUAUCUUUCUAUGCUUCAUGGAAAUUUGAAGUUUGAAGAUUGCGUUGAAUGGGGAGUAGACAUUAUGCCCUAAUUGAAUGUGAGGAAAGUAUGUUCAUCUAACACAUGGUAGCUAGUUCAAGUGGUGAAUCAAAAAUAUUAAAUUUAUAAUAAACAUCAAUAACUGGCAAAAACAUCUAAAAUUUGGAGCCGUCUUCACUAAUGGGGGAUGUGAAACUAAAAGAUGGACGAAGUAUUGAUGUUUAAAAAGGUUUUGAGUGAAAGGCACCUUGUUGGCCCAUAAUUGGUGGUUCAAUUGUUAGUUUACUAGUUUAAAUUAAACACGUGGACUAAGAACCUGGCACCCUUGUAAAUGUUUACUUGUAAGUAGAUGUUUAUUGUUUGUAUAAGGUGGUUCUUCUUAGUAUUGAGUGCUUGCAACUAUGAAUUAGGUGAAGAUAUGCCACAUAAUUUUAAGCUGUAAAUGUACAUAAAACUGCAUACAACAGCCACAAAAAUAGUCUGUGAGGGCCCAGGUGUUUGGGCUUGGUUGCAUGGAUUCUUUUCAUGCCAUUAAGAUCCUUUUGGAGCAACAUCACAAAUCAAACCAAUGUUAUUGAGCUGAUUGGAUCUGAUUUGUAUCCCUGCCCAAGUCAAGUCAAGGGCCAAUCAUUUAUAGAAGAUGAAAACUAGGAGUACUUACAGAAAUUCGAGAUGCAUGCUUCCAGCUUUUAUAUUGGGACAUCAGUUUGUCUCUGAAAGGCCUAGAGAUGGAAACCGAUUUCAAGGAGUCCUAAUCAGGAAAGGAGUCAGGAUCCAGCGGUCCAGUUACAAGUAGAAAAGAGGUCAUUUGUCUGCCAAAUACCUGAGCAACAUGGUUAUGUCCAUUUCUAUUCGGGAGCAAUCUAUUCAUUUCAUCCUUUAUGUCUUUUCUUUUUUGUUACUUCUGAUUUUCAUCAAUGUAACUGCAAGUGGCAUUAUUUUUAAUUCCUCUGAGUUAAUAUAGGUUUAUGCAUCCUGGUUAUCUUA